GCAUGCAAAUAAAUGUCUAUUUGAGGAGAAAAGUCCUUUUUUUCUGAUUUUUUUUCUUGUUUUCAGCAGAUCAGGUCAUUAAGAAAACAGAUUUGAAUUAAAUUGGACGGAGUCACGGGUUUUAAACUAGCAUCAAACGUUCCUAAGGUCAUUAAGUAAACAGAUUUGAAUGAAACUGGAUGGAGUCACAGACUUCAAACUACAGUCAAACGAUCCUAAGGUAACCUGAUGAUUUUUAAUAUUGAUCAAGUUCUGUAAGUUUCGUAGACAUCUCAAGUGUGUUGCUACAUUUCACUCACACUUGAUAACCUCUACUCUUCGUAGAAUGUCUUCACCAUACUGCAUAUAAAAAUAUUUCAAUGUAAAGCUUAAGAUUGGUGUUAUUCUGUAUUUGUUGUGUUGUCAAUUAAUCCACUUAUUAAGAAAACACAUUUUCUUGAUGCUGGAAUGAGUCUCAGAUGUCGUAAUUCUUUGCAACGUUCCUAAGGUAAGCUGGUGAGUUUUUCUUUUGAUCAAGGCCCAGAUGUUUGGGUAGACACUUCAAGUGUUCUGCUACAUUUUGCUAACACUUGAUGACGUCUACUCAUAGUAGCAUGUCUUCACCAUACUCCAGUGUAAAAAGCUGUCCAUUUAAAGAUUAAGGUUGCUGUUAUUCUGUAUUUUUUGUGUUGUCAAAUAAUCAAUUUAUUAAGUAAACAGAUCUUAUUGAUACUGGAGGGUGUCACAGAUGUCCAAAUAGCCUACUUUCUAACGUUCCUAAGGUAAGCUGGUGAAUUUUUCUUUUGAUCAAGGCCAAGAGGUUUGGGUAGACACUUCAAGUGUACUGCAACACUUGACAACGUCUACUCAUAGUACCAUGUCUUCACCAUGCCCCAUGUAAAAAAAUGUCGAUUUUAGGAUAACGGUUGUUUUUUCCCUGUGUUUCUCAUGUUGUCAUCUAAUCGUGUCAUUAAGAAAACAGAUUUGAAUGAAACUGGAUGGAGUCACAGACUUCAAACUACAAUCAAACGUCCUAAGAUCAGGUCAUUAAGAAAACAGAUUUGAAUUAAAUUGGACGGAGUCACGGGUUUUAAACUAGCAUCAAACGUUCCUAAGGUCAUUAAGUAAACAGAUUUGAAUGAAACUGGAUGGAGUCACAGACUUCAAACUACAGUCAAACGAUCCUAAGGUAACCUGAUGAUUUUUAAUAUUGAUCAAGUUCUGUAAGUUUCGUAGACAUCUCAAGUGUGUUGCUACAUUUCACUCACACUUGAUAACCUCUACUCUUCGUAGAAUGUCUUCACCAUACUGCAUAUAAAAAUAUUUCAAUGUAAAGCUUAAGAUUGGUGUUAUUCUGUAUUUGUUGUGUUGUCAAUUAAUCCACUUAUUAAGAAAACACAUUUUCUUGAUGCUGGAAUGAGUCUCAGAUGUCGUAAUUCUUUGCAACGUUCCUAAGGUAAGCUGGUGAGUUUUUCUUUUGAUCAAGGCCCAGAUGUUUGGGUAGACACUUCAAGUGUUCUGCUACAUUUUGCUAACACUUGAUGACGUCUACUCAUAGUAGCAUGUCUUCACCAUACUCCAGUGUAAAAAGUUGUCCAUUUAAAGAUUAAGGUUGCUGUUAUUCUGUAUUUUUUGUGUUGUCAAAUAAUCAAUUUAUUAAGUAAACAGAUCUUAUUGAUACUGGAGGGUGUCACAGAUGUCCAAAUAGCCUACUUUCUAACGUUCCUAAGGUAAGCUGGUGAAUUUUUCUUUUGAUCAAGGCCAAGAGGUUUGGGUAGACACUUCAAGUGUACUGCAACACUUGACAACGUCUACUCAUAGUACCAUGUCUUCACCAUGCCCCAUGUAAAAAAAUGUCGAUUUUAGGAUAACGGUUGUUUUUUCCCUGUGUUUCUCAUGUUGUCAUCUAAUCGUGUCAUUAAGAAAACAGAUUUGAAUGAAACUGGAUGGAGUCACAGACUUCAAACUACAAUCAAACGUCCUAAGGUAACCUGAUGAUUUUUAAUAUUGAUCAAGACCUAGAAGUUUGGUAGACAUCUCAAGUAUGUUGCUACAUUUCACUCACACUUGAUGACGUCUACUCAUGGUAGCAUGUCUUCACCAUACCGCAUGCAAAAUAAAUGUCUAUUUGAGGAGAAAA